rnacentral:lncRNA from 10 species
UCUCUUUCUUGCUCUAUUCUCAUUGUAUGAUAGGUUUGCUCUGUCUUUGCCUUCUGCCAUAAUUGGAAGCUUCCUGAGACCUCCCCAGAAGCAGAUGCCACUAUGCUUCUUGUACAGCCUGCAAAACGAUGAGCCAAUUAAGCCUCUUUUCUUAUAAAUUACUUAGUCACAGGUAUUUCUUUAUAACAAUGCAAGAACGGCCUAACACAUCGUCUACAUGAGAGGUUAAAACAGGCACAAUGGAGAAUACCAACUUCUAUAGAACAAGUUAAAUACAAUGGAAAUUACAAGCUACAAACUUCUCUUACGUUCAUUCUUACUCAUGAAAGAAGAUUCCUAAGAUUACUCACGUUUAAGAAGCAUAGAAGCAUCCAAGAAGAGUGAAGCCAGAAUUUUUAUAAAAUGUAUGUUCUUAAGGAUCAUCAUGGCCACUUUCCAAGUUUUAUUGUACUCAUUAAUCAGUGUGUAUAUGUAUGUGUCUCUGUUUUAUAAAAUUGUAUUAGGAAUGUAGGUUAAUGUAUCCAGCACCACAGUCAAGUUAGAAUAAAGCUUCAUUAAAACAAAGAUCCCUCCUAUUGCUCUAUCAGAGAUACACACCCCUCCCUUCCCUCCUCCUUCCCUAAUGCUGAACACUCUAAUAUAGUCUCAUCUUAAAAAUUUAGUCUUUUUGAAAAUAUUAUAUAAAUCAUAUCAUAUAUGUGAAAGGAAAAUAACUCUUGGGACCCUAAAAUCACUAAGCCGUGAGAAAAGUCAAGCUAACAAGUAUGUCAGGCAAACCUGCUUCCCAUUUUAUUCUUAAACAAGAUUCCUACAAAGAUAAGAAGCUACAUACCUCCCUCACAAUUUGCUCACAGGAAAUUCCUUGUGGACAAAGGACAGACAGAACUCAGAGUCAUCCCUCUGAGGCUCACCUGAGACAAAUGCAUAUAUGAUUACUUCCUCUGCCUAUUGUUUAUGUAAAAAUGCAGAUUCAUGGAGCCAGACUAAAUUGUGUAUUCAGUGGAAGGCUGAUCAAGGACUCAAAAGAAUGCCACCUUUACUUUCUUAUCUACUUCUACCCUGGAAGCCCCAACUUUGAGUCGUCCACGCCUUUCCAGAUCGAACCAAUGUACAUGUUACACAUAUUGAUUGAUGUCUCAUGUUUCCCUAAAAUGUAUAAUAGAAAACUGUACCACCGACCAUCCUGGGCAAAUGCCAUCAGGACCUCCUGAGGCUGUGUCACAGGCACAUUCUUUACCUUGGCAAAAUAAACUUUCUAAGUUGACUGAG